GACGUAGGGCGCGAGCGUUGUCCGGAUUUAUUGGGCGUAAAGAGCUCGUAGGCGGCUUGUCGCGUCGGCUGUGAAACCCGCGGCUCAACUGUGGGCGGGCAGCUGAUACGGGCAGGCUGGAGUUCGGUAGGGGAGACUGGAAUUCCUGGUGUAGCGGUGAAAUGCGCAGAUAUCAGGAGGAACACCAAUUGCGAAGGCAGCUCGCUGGGACGUUACUGACGCUGAGACGCGAAAGCGUGGGGAGCAAACAGG
rnacentral:rRNA from 1 species